rnacentral:rRNA from 1 species
UACGUAGGAGGCGAGCGUUGUCCGGAUUCACUGGGCGUAAAGGGCGCGUAGGCGGCGGCUUGAGUCCCUGCGUGAAAUCUCCCGGCUCAACCGGGAGGGUGCGCGGGAUACUGGGCGGCUUGAGGACAUCAGAGGAGAGCGGAAUCCCCGGUGUAGUGGUGAAAUGCGUAGAUAUCGGGGGGAACACCAGUGGCGAAGGCGGCUCUCUGGGGUGCACCUGACGCUGAUGCGCGAAAGCGUGGGGAGCGAACCGG